rnacentral:sRNA from 2 species
ACUUGUUUGAGGUUGAACAGGGAUAUUCAAGAUCCCGGAUCCGCUGGGGUGGUUUGGCUUCUUGUGUGGAUUCGAACCUUGCGCCGGCAGAGGGGUGAGGAUGAUCCGCAUGGUUUACUAUCCCUAAAAUGGAUAUUUUUAGCUUGUUAAAUCUUCUCUAAUUCUGUUAUAGAUGCCAUCCCACGCGUGAAAGAGAGAUCAUAAAUAAAUAUUUCCAGAGUCUCGGAUUGAUCUGGAAGGAAGAAUGUGAGGCAUGGAUUGGCUUUACGUUUUUUUUUUUUUCAUUGCACGGAUUAUAUCUGAACAGGGGGAUCAGCUUUCCAUGAGCAAACCCCCACGAAUUCAUGCAUUGUGUCUCAAUAUGCCAGAAAUAUAGAAUCGUGUAGAGAAUUUUGCCAUGCCCCCCCGGCUCCCAUUUUCAAUGGAUUUCCGUACUCCCCCUGCAAAAGAUAUGUGGUUGAAAACAACAUUACUAUUUCCCCCCCGUUAUCCCGUUGAUACCGAUAUGUUCAGUUUUAUCAUUGACAGACAAAAUUACAGUUGCCCUAGGCAUGAAAAACAGUAUGGAUGAAUGGAAUUUCGCAUGCUGGAAAUCGAAGCAGCACACAAGCAGCAAUUUAAAGGUCAAGCCUCCUUAAACCCAGCGUCUAUGGUUGAUACAGAUACUCUCACUUCUAGAAUGGUUGGGAUAAGGUAAUGUAGCACUCAGACAUCCAAGUGCCUGAGUUGCUGGCCGCAGAGCGCGGAGUUCUGAAUGUUCAGCGGUGAACACCAUCUUGUUGACAGGCAGCGGAGGGCUGUGUUUCUAGGGCUCUCGCAAUAUCUUCUAGUUUACGGUUCAGCUCCUGUGUACGUUCGAAAAUGGGGUUUUUUGGACUCGAUGUCAUGUUUUUGAUAAUCUCGUUAUACCCAUCCAUGUUUGUUAUUUUCUCACAUCACAUUUGGCUGUCAUGAAUAAUGGUUGCUACCUACCAUACCUUUAAUUUAAGGGACCAUUUUAUUACCGUUUUCUGAUACCCUCUAUGUUAUCCUCAGACACAAUGACAAGGACCAGGGC